GAUGAACGCUGGCGGCGUGCCUAAUACAUGCAAGUCGAGCGAACGGACGAGAAGCUUGCUUCUCUGAUGUUAGCGGCGGACGGGUGAGUAACACGUGGAUAACCUACCUAUAAGACUGGGAUAACUUCGGGAAACCGGAGCUAAUACCGGAUAAUAUUUUGAACCGCAUGGUUCAAAAGUGAAAGACGGUCUUGCUGUCACUUAUAGAUGGAUCCGCGCUGCAUUAGCUAGUUGGUAAGGUAACGGCUUACCAAGGCAACGAUGCAUAGCCGACCUGAGAGGGGGAUCGGCCACAAUGGAACUGAGACACGGCCCACACCCCCACGGGGGGCAGGAGGAGGGAAUCUUCCGCAAGGGGCGAAAGCCUGACGGAGCAACGCCGCGUGAGGGAUGAAGGUCUUCGGAUCGUAAAACUCUGUUUUUAGGAAAAAACAUAUGGGUAAGUAACGGUGCAACUCUUGACGGUACCAAAUCAAAAAGCCACGGCUAACUACGU
rnacentral:rRNA from 1 species